UACGUAGGGUGCAAGCGUUAAUCGGAAUUACUGGGCGUAAAGCGUGCGCAGGCGGUUUUGUAAGUCUGACGUGAAAGCCCCGGGCUUAACCUGGGAAUUGCGUUGGAGACUGCAAGGCUUGAAUCUGGCAGAGGGGGGUAGAAUUCCACGUGUAGCAGUGAAAUGCGUAGAGAUGUGGAGGAGCACCGAUGGCGAAGGCAGCCCCCUGGGUCAAGAUUGACGCUCAUGCACGAAAGCGUGGGGAGCAAACAGG
rnacentral:rRNA from 1 species